GACGAACGCUGGCGGCGUGCUUAACACAUGCAAGUCGAACGAGAGCGUAGAGAAAGCUUGCUUUUUCUACAAUCUAGUGGCAAACGGGUGAGUAACGCGUAAACAACCUGCCCUACGGAUGGGGACAACAGCUGGAAACGGCUGCUAAUACCGAAUACGUUCCGAAAGUCGCAUGACUAUCGGACGAAAGGAUGGCCUCUAUUUAUAAGCUAUCGCCGGAGGAGGGGUUUGCGUCUGAUUAGCUAGUUGGAGGGGUAACGGCCCACCAAGGCGACGAUCAGUAGCCGGUCUGAGAGGAUGAGCGGCCACAUUGGAACUGAGACACGGUCCAGACUCCUACGGGAGGCAGCAGUGGGGAAUCUUCCGCAAUGGGCGAAAGCCUGACGGAGCAACGCCGCGUGAGUGAAGACGGCCUUCGGGUUGUAAAGCUCUGUUAUACGGGACGAAUAAUCUUGUGGUUAAUACCCAUGAGAAGUGACGGUACCGUAAGAGAAAGCCACGGCUAACUACGUG
rnacentral:rRNA from 1 species